CCUACGUGGGGCAGCAGUGGGGGAUAUUGCACAAUGGGGGGAACCCUGAUGCAGCGACGCCGCGUGGGUGAAGAAGCGCCUCGGCGCGUAAAGCCCUGUCAGCAGGGAAGAAAAUGACGGUACUUGAAGAAGAAGCCCCGGCUAACUACGUGCCAGCAGCCGCGGUAAUACGUAGGGGGCAAGCGUUAUCCGGAUUUACUGGGUGGAACGGGGGUGCAGACGGCGGUGCAAGCCAGGAGUGAAAGCCCGGGGCCCAACCCCGGGACUGCUCUUGGUACUGCGUGGCUAGAGUGCAGGAGGGGCAGGCAGAAUUCCUGGUGUAGCGGUGAAAUGCGUAGAUAUCAGGAGGAACACCGGUGGCGAAGGCGGCCUGCUGGACUGCGACUUACGUUGAGGCCCGAAAGCGUGGGGAGCAAACAGGAUUAGAUACCCUUGUAGUC
rnacentral:rRNA from 1 species